rnacentral:piRNA from 1 species
UGCGUGGCCCUGGCAGGCUGGUGUCUGUGU